GACGAACCGUGCGAACGUUGUUCGGAAUCACUGGGCAUAAAGGGCGCGUAGGCGGCUUAUCAAGUCAGGGGUGAAAUCCGGCAGCUCAACUGUCGAAGUGCCUUUGAUACUGAUGAGCUCGAGGGAGGUAGGGGUCUGUGGAACUUCCGGUGGAGCGGUGAAAUGCGUUGAUAUCGGAAGGAACGCCGGUGGCGAAAGCGACGGACUGGACCUCUUCUGACGCUGAGGCGCGAAAGCUAGGGGAGCAAACGGG
rnacentral:rRNA from 1 species